rnacentral:tRNA from 1 species
GUAGUGGUGGUUCAGUGGUAGACUUCUUGCCUUCCAUGUGGGAGACCCAAGUUUGAUUCCUGGCCAGUGCA